CGGCAGGGGGCGGCCGCACUACCGGCCCGCACAGAGUCGCAUACUCAACCUAGGUGCGGAGCAGGAGCGUACACGUUGGUACCCGAAAGAUGGUGAACUAUGCUUGGGCAGGCUGAAGCCAUGAGAAAUCUUGGUGGAGGGCCGCAGCGGUUCUGACGUCCAAAUCGAUAGUACCACCUGAGUAUAGGGGCGAAAGACUAAUUGAUCCAUAUAGUAGCUGGUUCCCUUCGAAGUUUCCUUCAGGAUACACUGUGAUCCGUUCAUAACGCAGUUUUGUCCGGUAAAGCGAAUGAAUAGAGGCUAUUCGAGGGCGCAACGCUCUCGACCUAUUAUCAAACUUUAAAUGGUACAAGGAGUAGUC
rnacentral:rRNA from 1 species